GAUGAACGCUAGCGGCAGGCUUAAUACAUGCAAGUCGAGGGGUAGCAAGAUUGUAGCAAUACAAUUGUUGACGACCGGCAAACGGGUGCGGAACACGUACACAACCUUCCUACAAGUGGGGAAUAGCCCAGAGAAAUUUGGAUUAAUACCCCGUAACCUAGCGAUGUGGCAUCACAUUGCUAUUAUAGCUUCGGCGCUUGUUGAUGGGUGUGCGGCUGAUUAGAUAGUUGGCGGGGUAACGGCCCACCAAGUCUACGAUCAGUAGCUGAUGUGAGAGCAUGAUCAGCCACACGGGCACUGAGACGCGGGCCCGACUCCUACGGGAGGCAGCAGUAAGGAAUAUUGGACAAUGGACGCAAGUCUGAUCCAGCCAUGCCGCGUGAAGGAUUAAGGUCCUCUGGAUUGUAAACUUCUUUUAUAAGGGACGAAAAAAGGUCUUUCUAGAUCGUCUGACGGUACCUUAUGAAUAAGCACCGGCUAACUCCGUGCCAGCAGCCGCAGUAACAC
rnacentral:rRNA from 1 species